rnacentral:lncRNA from 1 species
UAUCCCUUCUAACCCUAUUCUCCAACGGUUCUAUACAUUUAAAACUACUAAUUUAAACUUAAAUCUACACAAAUAAUGGAGAAGAAAGUGACAUGAAGAGAGAUAGAGAGCAGGCCCCAAGUGUUGAUAGUGACAUCUCCGAGAUUGCUUCUAAAGCCAACUUGUGGUUUGUCUCUUUGGUUGCUUUAUCCCCAACGUCUCUAUUGAGGUCUUGGGCGCCUAAGAAUGAUAGUGACAGGUCAUAAACGUUCCUCUUAGCCCACAUGUGAAUCCUUGCAACUUGCAUUGCUUCCACACACAUGUGACUCCUCUUUUGGCGCUUAAACACAUUCAAAUCUAGGGACUUCUUCACUUCUUUCAUUGUCCCUAGAUUUGCACAUUCUUUAUCAACUUAUUAUUGACCCUAGAUUUGCACAUCUUUAUCUUCAAGAUUGACCCGAACUUUGCACAUUCUUCUUUGGUGAUUAAACCCCGGUUUUGCACAUCUUGGUGAUGACCCGAACUUUGCACAAGCUUCGGUCUUGAUAACUUUGACCCGAACUUUGCACAUUCGUUUCUUGAGUCUUGGUGACUUGACCCGUGUUUUGCACGGCUAUUAUCAACACUUCGAGUAGAGCUCUUCGGCCUUGUCUUAAGGAACUUCGGCCUCGGCUCUCCUUUGCUUCUUGUGUUUUCCGUGACACGUCUUGUAUUAAUCGCGAGUUGACUUCCGGAUGUAUGGCUCCUUUACAUGACUUCUUCAUCCGGUU